rnacentral:lncRNA from 1 species
CCUCCUCCUCGUCCCCGCCCCCCUGCGGGUCGCUUCCCCCGCCGCCUCCGCCCCCAGAUCCCGCACCGUCUCCGCCUUCCGAUCCGCCGCCGCCGAGCUCGGGCUCCUUGGACGCGACGGCCGCGAGGAGGCGGGCGCCGGGGGAGGCGGAGCGGAGCGAGAGGAGGGCCCGGGGGCGGGCGCGCGCAGGAAGAGGAGGGAGCUCUGGGAGGCGGAGAUCGGGGCCGGGGAGAAGGCGAGGGGCGCGAGGAGUGGGGUCGUGGCGAGGAGGGCCAUGGUUGCCGGUGCUCGAGCUGGGGUUUUGUGGGGGGUCAACUCGGUGGGUGGGCUGCCGGCGGUGGUGAGCUCGGUGAUGUGAUGGACUGCUGAUGUGAUGGGGGAUUUUCCGGGGUGGGUGGCGUGUCACUGUGGGUGGGGCCUUGGGUUUCUAGGCACUUCGAUGGUUUUUCGGCAAAAUGUACAAAAGUGAAUUGAAGAAGCAACAAAUUCAUAAAGUGAACCGUUUUGGAAUUUCUUUACUGGUAUAUUCUUUUAUGUGGCGUUC